CCCGCAGCCAUGGCAAAAUGAAAGUACCAGGACUGAAAGAGAACGUGUGUGUGUGUGUGUGUGUGUGUGUGUGUGUGUGUGUGUGUGUGUGUGUGUGUGUGUGUGUGUGUGUGUGUGUGUGUGUGUGUGUGUGUGUGUGUGUGUUUGUGUCAUAUUUCUUGUAUAGAUAACAUACAUUCUUGUCCUUAAAAACGGAAGCUAUAAAACGCAUCAGGUGGGUUUUGGAUCUCUGGUAGUGACAAGAUGGCAGACGCAGAAGCUGUGGCUAUCGGGUUCACGAUGGCAGAUUCCAAAAAUGACUCAGAGGCAAUAACAACGGCAUCCACCCAAAGAGCGACGGGAAGGAGAUUAAAGAGGUUCAACUCUAGCUCCACGGCCUCUACUCCUAUCGCACUACAUCAAGUCUGUCCGGUGAUGUCAGCCUGGCUGCUGGUGAAUGCUAAGCGCCAUGGACAGCUUCACCUCUGAGACGCCUGUCAGAGGGGACGUUGACAUUCAGAAACACAGUGCGUCUCAUCCUAGGUCUGGUGACCAAAGAAGACUAAAGAAUUUCAUUGCCAGCGACAGCUCUGUAAUUGUCGUGUAUAUGACAAUAAAACCAACUUGAAUCUUGAAUCUUGGUGGUGGUACUGCAAGCCUUAACUCUCCUCUCCCUGGUGGGAUACAAGUCGCACACUGGUUGUCGAUG
ensembl:lncRNA